GAUGAACGCUAGCGGCAGGCCUAAUACAUGCAAGACGAACGGUAAGUUGAGUAGCAAUACUUAGCCAAGAGUGUCGUACGGGUGCGUAACACGUAUGCAACCUACCCUAUACAGGAGGAUAGCCUAGGGAAACCUGGAUUAACCCUUCAUAGUAUUAUUGGAUGGCAUCAUUUGAUAAUUAAAACUGAGGUGGUAUAGGAUGGGCAUGCGUCUGAUUAGUUAGUUGGCGGGGUAAUGGCCCACCAAGACGAUGAUCAGUAGGGGUUCUGAGAGGAAGAUCCCCACACUGGCACUGAGAUACGGGCCAGACUCCUACGGAGGCAGCAGUAGGGAAUAUUGGUC
rnacentral:rRNA from 1 species